AUAUACUUUACUGGCAGAACUGGAAUGCCAUCAGCCUAUCUGGUUCUCAGAUAUACUUCCUCUAGGACUGGAGCAGAUAGUCACUGAAUACCUGCUUCAAACCACCUUUCACGAUUUCUUGUUGGAAAGAUAACCACUGGAGAAUCAUCUGGUUACCUUCAGCAAACACGGAAACAAAUCAAGACAUUAAGAAAGCCACGGUGGCCGACAGUUCCGCAAGCUUUGGCAGAGGAAGUUUUCAAGACAGCGUGCCUCACUAGCCAGAAAUCAGAAAAGAUUGAACCUAUCCUUUCUGUCUCAGCUGCUCCUUAAAUUAAUGCGAUUCCUCCAAAUUAAUGUGAAUUGAAACAUGCAUUGCCUUUCAACUUAAUUGAGUACUUACUAUGUGUGAAUCACUGCACCAAAUAGGGGAGAGAAAAUGAGGGAGGCAAAUAAGAUGUGGAGCCUGCUUUCAAUGAAUUUACAAUUAAUUUCAGGGCACAUUUUUUACUUCUGCUCUUUAUUAGGUGUAACCCUAAGACAAGAAAUAAAUGAAUGGAAAA